rnacentral:rRNA from 1 species
UUAAGAGUGUAUGGUGGAUGCCUUGACAUAAGAAGACGAUGAAGGACGUAACAGCCUGCGAUAAGCUUCGGUGAGGUGGCAAGUAACCUUUGACCCGGAGAUUUCCGAAUGGGGAAACCCAUCCGAUUGAAGAUCGGAUAUCCUGAUUCCUUGGGAAUCGGGAUGAAGACCUGGUGAAUUGAAACAUCUUAGUAACCAGAGGAAAAGAAAACAAUAGUGAUUCCCUUAGUAGUGGCGAGCGAAAGGGGAGGAGCCUAAACUCACAUAACUGCGGUUAGUGCUUGGUUUACCAAGUAUUAACCAGAAGGUUCUAGGGCCAUAUGUUUUGUGGGGCUUGCAAGAGAUCGCGUUUGUCGCCUAGACAGACAAGGUAAAGUCAUAAAAAAUAAACUUUAGUCAAAGUGAGCUGGAAAGCUCUGCCAGAGAGAGUGAAAGCCUCGUAGAUAAAAAAGUUUGUUUCUUUACUGCGAAUCUUCUUAAGUAGGACGGGCCUCGUGAAAUCCCGUUUGAAUCAGGGUCGACUAUGACCCAAGGCUAAACACUUCUUAUGAUCGAUAGUGAACAAGUACCGUGAGGGAAAGGUGAAAAGCAUCCCGAGAGGGAGGUGAAAUAGUACCUGAAACCAUAUACUUACAAAGAGUCGGAGCCGUGCUUGCACGGUAACGGCGUGCCUAUUGAAGUAUGAGCCAACGAGUUUGUUCUAUGUGGCUUACAUAAGUUCCGUUUGGAAAAUAUGUGUAGUGAAAGCGAGGGUUAAAUGCCCGUUUUUGUACUUCACUUUUGCGCAUUAAUUUAUUAGUGCGUUAAAAGUGAAGUACCAGUCGCAUGGACAAGACCCGAAGCCGAGUGAUCUAACCAUGGCCAGGUUGAACUUUGUCGAAAGACAGAGGAAGGACCGAACCCACUAGUCGUGCAACACUAGGGGAUGAGCUGUGGUUAGCGGUGAAAUUCCAAUCGAACUCGGCAAUAGCUGGUUCUCCUCGAAAUAGCUUUAGGGCUAGCCUCAAGUGCUGACUACGGGGGGUAGAGCACUGGAUGAGGGCGGGCCGAUUAGGUACCGUCUUCAAUCAAACUCCGAAUACCCGUAGGUGAAGCUUGGGAGUCAGACCAUGGGCGCUAAGGUUCAUUGGUCGAAAGGGAAACAGCCCAGACCGCAAUCUAAGGUCCCUAAAUUCACGCUAAGUGUUAAAGGUGGUGUUGUGACCGCGACAAUUAGGAGGUUGGCUUAGAAGCAGCCAUCCUUUAAAGAAAGCGUAAUAGCUCACUAAUCAAGUUGUUUCGCGCCGAAAAUUUAUCGGGGCUAAGCGUGAUACCGAAGAUGCGGGCUUGUUAAUUUAUUAACAAGCGGUAGAGGAGCGUUUUAUUCUGCACUGAAGCUGUGUCGUGAGACAUGGUGGAGCGGAUAGAAGUGAGAAUGUUGGCAUGAGUAGCAAAAAGGCAGGUUAAAACCCUGCCCACCGAAAACCUAAGGUUUCCUGGGCAACGACAAUCGUCCCAGGGUUAGUCGAUCCUAAGGUAGUAUUUGUGUAAUGCAAGUAUUAUACCGAUGGAAGAGCUGGUUAAUAUUCCAGCACUACUGUGUUUUUCCGAUGGAGGGACGCGGUUUCAAAGUUUAAGCGGGCUAUGGUAUGUCCGUUGAUGGUUUCAAGAAGUGGCUUAGGCAAAUCCGAGCCAAUAACUUCAAGAGACAGUCUGGAGACAAAAUCGUAAGAUGGAGUCAACUUAAGUGGAGGAAUCGCCUAGAAAAACUUCUAGGGCUAAGAACAUAGUAAUCGUACCGCAAACCAACACAGGUAGGUGAGGCGAGAAGCCUCAGGUGAACGAGAGAACCUUCGCUAAGGAACUAGGCAAAACAGCGGCCGUAAUUUCGAGAUAAGGCCUGCCCUGAGCAAUCAGGGCCGCAGCUAAAGAGCCCAAAGGACUGUUUACCAAAAACACAGCUCUCUGCUAACUCGCAAGAGGAUGUAUAGAGGGUGAAGCCUGGCCAGUGUCCGAACGUUAAGAGGAGGGGUUAAUCAUGCUUGCAUGGUGAAGCUCUGAAUUGAAGCGCGGAUGAACGCCGGCGAUAACUAUGAAUGAUUGUAGUUAUAAAAUUUGGCUAUAUGCUGGAAUAUCCUGUUAAGCUGGAAGUACUCAUUCUUUUAUAGAAUAGUGAAAAUCUUUCAGAUAACCCUUGUUUAAGGUACGGGACAAUCAGCAGGAAAGACUCUUAAAUAUAUGAAGCAAAAAAAAAUUAAACCAGAGCUAGCUUAUUAUUUAGUUGGCUUUGCAGAUGGUGAAGGAAGUUUUAACGUUUCAAUUAGAAAAAGACCUGAUCAUACUAUGAAAUGGCAAAUUGUUUUAACCUUUAACGUUUCACAAAGUGAAAGUUAUAUAUUAUCACAAUUUAAAAAACAUUUAGGAUGUGGUCGGAUAGUGCAAAGAAAAAAAGAUGGUCUAUAUAUGUAUGUAGUAGAUAAUCCUAAAUCUUUGCAGGAAAAAGUAAUUCCCUUUUUCAAGAAAUAUAAAUUUCUUUCCCAGAAAAAAAAGUAUAAUUUUUCUAUUUUCUGUCAAAUUGCUAAUUUAGUUUUUUCUAAAGAACAUCUCAAUAAAGAAAGUUUUAUGAAGGUUAUUGAUUUAAGGGAAAAAUUAAAUGAAGGUAAAGGUAGAAAGAGAAAAUAUAAUAAAGAAGAUUUACAAGAAAUCUUCAAAGAGAAUCCUCAGAGACUACACGCCAAACCACGUAUUUUUCGUCCAGAAAAAUAAGUGGAUGAUAUAGUCCGAUCUUUAUGGAAACAUAAAGUAGUAUUUUUCUUAAAAUACUAAGGUUUAAUAUAAUUAAACUAACAUUAAUGAAUCGUCCUAAGGUAGCGAAAUUCCUUGUCGGGUAAGUUCCGACCUGCACGAACGGUUUAACCAUUUGGGCACUGUCUCAGCGAAGGACUCGGUGAAAUUGCAAUACGAGUAAAAAUGCUCGUUAAUCACAGUUGGACGAAAAGACCCCGUGAAGCUUUACUACAGCUUGAUAUUGAAUUAGGGGUAUGCAUGUUCAG